CAGAGGAACUUAGUCAUUGACUGUGGUGGGGCUGCAGGACGAUAAGAAUUCGGAAGUGAAAGAACUCAGAAGGCAGUGCCAGCAGCUGGAGUCUGUUAAACGGAGCAGUCUGUGUCAAAAGAGCUUCUCUCCAGAGUAGAAAGACGGAGUCUCACUCUGUAGCCCAGGCUGGAGUGCGAUGGCGCGAUCUUGGCUCACCACAAGCUCCCCCUCCCGGGUUCACGCCAUUCUCCUGCCUCUGCCUCGUGAGUAGCUGGAACUACUGGCGCCUGCCACCACAUCCAGCUAAUUUUUUUGUAUUUUUAGUGCAGACUGGGUUUCACCGUGUUAGCCAGGAUGGUCUGGAUCUCCUGACCUUGGGAUCCGCCCGCCUCGGCCUCCGAAAGUGCUGAGAUUACCGGCGUGAGCCACUGUGCCCGGCCGAGACUUUUAAUUAUGCAAUGCCAGACUGCAUUGCAUAAACCAAAGGCCAACAGAGAGGUGACCUUUCAAAUUACUGGCACAAGAAGAGCUGAGAUCAGAAAGCUCCAACUUAAUGCAAACAUCGACAAGAAAUCCGACAGAAAUGACUUCUGUGUCUGGUCAACUUAACAUAACAUGACAUAUUGUCAAGCGCAUUUGGCUUUUUAGGUAGAAUUGUCUAUAAAGGUUUAACUGCUUUAGAAAAUAUAAAUGUGAAGAUUUGUGGUAUUUGGGUUUAUAUAUAAGAUAUUUCUACAUUGAAAAGAGACUGGAAAAGCUUGGUAUAAGAUUUGUAAAAUAUGUUUGUAAUAAUGCUAAUGGAAGAGGUGAGAUUUGGGUGGGGUGGGGUGUAGAUGGGAACAUGGUUUGGGGAUUGGGGAAAGGGAAGUCAUGCUGUUAAUAAAAUAGUGAGGCAUGUUGUAUAAAGUGUGUUUUAUGUCUCAAUUGAAAUGUUAUAGAGAUAAAUUUAAAAUAGAUCAUGAUGGGUUUUGAAUCUGAUUUCUAAUUUUAAAAUGUUAUGAGCUUUUGUUGCUUUCCUAUUUCAUACACAUUUCUUUAUGGGUUUCACUUAGACUGCAUGAAAUUGCAGAUGCCAAUUACCUUUUAACAAAAUUAAAUUCACAUAUAUGUAUAAUUUGCAUGUAUAUAUCCAUGGAAUUUUUUAUUCUACACGAUAUAUUAUUUUAAAAUGGUUUUUCAAUGACAAAAUAAAAAGUAUUUUUCUAUA
rnacentral:lncRNA from 1 species